rnacentral:rRNA from 1 species
AAUUUUGGACAAUGGGGGAAACCCUGAUCCAGCCAUCCCGCGUGAAUGAUGAAGGUCUUAGGCUUGUAAACUUCUUUCACCGGGGACGAUAAUGACGGUACCCGGACAAGAAGCGCAGGCUAACCUCGUGCCAGCCGCCGCGGUAAUACGAAGGGGGCUAGCGUUGCUCGGAAUUACUGGGCGUAAAGGGCGCGUAGGCGGACAUUUAAGUCAGGGGUGAAAUCCCAGAGCUCAACUCUGGAACUGCCUUUGAUACUGGGUGUCUUGAGUGUGAGAGAGGUAUGUGGAACUCCGAGUGUAGAGGUGAAAUUCGUAGAUAUUCGGAAGAACACCAGUGGCGAAGGCGACUACCUGGACGAAAACUGACGCUGAUGCACGAAAGCUAGGGGAGCAAACAG